UACGUAGGGUCCGAGCGUUGUCCGGAAUUACUGGGCGUAAAGAGCUCGUAGGCGGCUCGUCGCGUCGACCGUGAAAACCCGCAGCUUAACUGCGGGCCUGCGGUUGAUACGGGCGGGCUAGAGUUCGGUAGGGGAGACUGGAAUUCCUGGUGUAGCGGUGAAAUGCGCAGAUAUCAGGAGGAACACCGGUGGCGAAGGCGGGUCUCUGGGCAACAACUGACGCUGAGGAGCGAAAGCGUGGGGAGCGAACAGG
rnacentral:rRNA from 1 species